UAAAAAUUAACUUUAUGACAAGUUUAAAUAUAUAAUCUAUAAAAGUAUUAUAUGGCCUCUUGAAUCUUAAAAAUGACUUUGUAUUUUCUUGAAUUUCACAUUUAAUCGUAUAACUACUUGAAUUCUAAUUUUUUUAUACUCGUGGAUCUCUGAAGUUGAUUUACAUUUUAACCUGCAAGGUUUGGGAUUGUCCCUAUGUAUAUAUAUAUUAUAUAUUCACCAAAGUUCACCAAAGUAUAAAAAUCAACUACAAAGCAGGGUAACCGUUGAAAAAACAUGAUGAAAAAUUAGUAUAUUUUUGCAAAAUAGAAUGACAAAAUAGUAAUUUCAAAAUUUUCAAAAUUUUUUAUUUAGAGGCAACGAAUUUCUGACAACUUUACAAAAGAAAUGUUGGAACAUCAGUGACAGUGGCAGAUAGAUUCCAUGGCUUUUCUUUUUCAUUUUCCUUCUUUUAGUUCCAAAGAAUGAUCACUUCCACUUCUUUUUCAAUUGUAUAACAAUUUUAUAACCUUAAUCUUUGAUUAAAUUUCUAAACGUAUAACAAUUUAUGGUAAAUGAUAUAUAUGUUUUUUUAAUUUAUAAAUCACAAAUGUUGCAAAAAGUGAAAAAAAUAUUUUAUUUGACGAAAAACCAAACAAGGCCCAACGCAGUCAAAAAGAAAGGGACGCACUAAUAGCAUCAAUCAUUGAGUGAAGAGGCAAAAAUGCACCUCCCAAUAUUAAAAAAAUUGACGCACUCACUACUACUUUCAAAAAAAAAAAAAAAAAAAAAAAAAAAAAGUGUAAGUGUGGAAUUUGCUUUUGCUUUUGCUUUUUAGUUAAUUAAUGGAUAGCAAAUAGAAAGAGCACCAUGUGGAUUGUGGACUGUGCUUUUACUCAUUUAAAGACAAAAAAAAAAAAAAAAAGGAAAACUGAGCCUUCAAUUUGGAUUUUCGAAUAAAGCAUGAAUUUUGUGGACCUCUUCUCACCAUCUUUACAAAAAGCUUUUAAAUAAUUAAUUUAUGUUAACAAUAAGAGGUAAAGAAUUUAAGAUUAUAGCAUUAAUUAGGAAUUUCAACGCCCAAAUUCUAUCUUCUAAUCAUUAUAUUUAAGGAACCCUAUAUCCUAAAUAAAUAGCUAAAAAUUGUUAGUAUAUCAAAAAUAAUAUUUAUUAGAUCAAUUUUUUAAUUGAAUUUGAAUAAAUUCAAGUAUAAAAUGUGCAUUAAAAUUCUUAAUUGACAGGAUCAAUUUUAUAUAAAUUGUUUGAUAAAUUUAAUUUUGAUUUAAUAAACAUAUUUUAAUGUGAUGAGAAUUAUAACAAUUAUUUCACAUUUUCUAAAAUAUAAUUGCAUUUUCCCUUUUUCUUUUUUUGAAGAAAAGAACUUGUAGAACAAUUAUUUCACUUCUAGGUUUUAGUGCAUCGGGUCAUAUUUGUAAGUCCACUCCUCCAUGAGUCUAUAUAUACACAUACUGAGUGUAAGGUGACAAGAAAUGAGCGGAGAGAGGAUAAGAGUUGGAAAAGAAAUGGGUGUUAAUAAUAAUAAUAAUACUCUUCUUGUAUUAUUGUUGGUGCUGUUAAUAUUUUCCAGCACCAAUAAUAGUUGCAGAGCUGCAUUUCUUGAUUACAAGAUAAGCAGUAGAAACACCUCUUUCAGUUGCGACGAUGGAAACCUCGACGACUGCCUCAUCGCCGACGAUUUGGAGGUGGAGUUUUUGCUGGAUUCUGACAUAAGCCGGAUGCUUCAAGAGGGUGGGAAUUCAUUUGCUGGAUAUACAUACACUCCAACUUCGGUACCUGUAUGUAAAAAAGGUCGUUCAUAUAGGAAUUGCAAUUGCCCUCCUUACAAACCACAUAAAAGAGAUGACGAAUGCUAUAAAUAGAUGACGAAUGCUACCGUUAGAUCAUCUGCUUUAUUUCUGCCGUUCAAUCAUCGCUGUUCUGUCUCUUUUUCUCCUCUUUUUUUUUUUUUUUUUCCAAUCCCAUUGUUGUCAUGUUAUUGUCUGAUCAAGAAUGCGUUUCUUCUUACUUCAGUGGGCAACGUAUGUCAGUUUUCGGCAGAAGAAUAAAGAACUUAUGCUUUUGGUUGCUAAUUUUGAUGGCAUUUGUGAAUUAUAUGUAUUUUGGUUGCUCAUUAGUCCCACUAUUAUUAAAACGUUUUAAUUUUUAAAGAUUUGUGUAAUUGAUAAUUAAAUGUUUUUUUUUAAAUAUAAUUAAAUGUUAAUUAAUGCUACAAUUUGAAAAUGAAAGAAUUACUAACUGUAAGAAUUGUUUAAAAAAUAUAAUUUUUUGAAUUAUUUCAUAUAUACAAAGUUGUAUACUUUUGGAAGUUUUUAGACAACUUUGUAAGAUAAAAACAUUUCUAUAAGUUUAUUGUCAUAAAAUAAUUAUAAGUCAUUUUAAAAUUUUUCAAAAAGAGAAAAAUAUUUUUUGAAAAUUGAAAUUAUAACUUUAUAUAAUGUUAAUACAUUGAUUCAUGGGUAGGUAUCAUCAUCAAUCAUCAAUAAUCACCAUGUACUAAUCACGAUCACCACUGCUAUUACUAUGAACACCACAAUUUAUCAGUUUUAAAUUGAGAUUAAAUAAAAGAAAAUAAAUUAUUUUCCUGAAACAUAUUUUCAAAUCUGAUGCUACAGGGAGGAUCUUGAAUCACAUGCAGGCCUCUAUCCAAAAGAAGAGCAGAGGAGGCCAAUGCAUCAGCAACACCAAUAUCCUCUCUAUAGACAUGUUUAACCACAACUUGCCAGUCUCUUCUCAACAAAGUCUAAUAUACUGAAAUAAUGUUCUUAUGGCGCAGCAAAGAAGAAGAUGGAAAAUUAAGAACACAAGCUAAUCCCUUUUUUAAUGGCAGACAAAUAUACUAAAUCACUAAAAAAUCUAAAAAAAAAAAAAAAAAAGAUAUGAUGCCACUUCAACAAUAAACUCACAGUAUAAUGUCAACAUAAAAUCGCCACAUAUAUAUAAGCAAGCUUCAACUUUUAUAUAUUCAUUUAUAUAAAUAGUGAAUUUACAAGUUUAAAUAAAAAAUCGCAGCAGCUCUCUCUUUUCUUUUCUCCUUCUUCUUUAUUAAAAUUAUUUUCUUUUUCAAUAAAAUACAAGAAUCAAAAGUGACAGCUCCUCCCUCUUUUCUCUUUUUCUUUUGUAAAUUUAAAUUUUUAUUAAAUAAAUUAUCAAUCUAUAUUAUUUAUAUUUUUGUUAUUUUCUUAUGGUUUAUGUUCAUCUUGUGCCGAGUUAUUUGUGAUCUUCACCAUAUGUAAAUCUUUUUUUUUCCUUUUUUGCAGCAACCUACAAAUUUCAAAUUUACUUAUUAGAUCUAAAAAUUUUCAAAUUUACUUUUUAGUUUUUCAUUUUCAUUAGAUUUCUUAUUAGAUGAACAAACUUUAUUAUACUAUUACUUUAGUUAUAACAGUAUUGCUUAAUAUCUAAUCUCCGGAAAAGGACCCUAUUCUUCAUGUAUUAUUAUGUUAGUUUGAAAUUAUUAUGAUAUCCUAACGUAAUCUCUCAGUUCUCUUAUUUUAGAGAAAAUUUCCAUUUUCGAUAUUUAUUUUAUAUAGAGAAUUUUAUCAUAAAUGAAAAUUUUGGAAAGGAUACCAAAAAAAAAAGUCUAAAAUGCCCUUCAAUAACCCUUAUUACUGCCUUUAUUUGGGUUCAAUUAACAAGAUAGUGGCAAACAAAAUGUGGGUUGGGCAAUUAAUGAACUUAUGUUUCCAAAGCAUGAGUAAUUGCUACAUUUAUGAGCUGUUUAGUAGAAAUGUGCUCAAUUUUACAAAUUUGAGCCCGAAUAAGAGUAUUGGAUCAGCGAGGUAUCCUAAUAUGACCACAUAUUUUAAUUGUUGUGCGUUAAUAAUAAAAAAGUCUUUAUGGCAAAAGAAGUUUGCUCAACUUUACACAUGUGACAUGAAUAUGACUAUUUUUUCUUAGAAAGUUUUCAUAAAUUGUCACGGAUUUAUAUUGUUGUAUCCUAUCGCCAAAAAUUGCCUUUAAAUUGACAUUGCACCUUACUAAUAUGCGCACAAAUUUUUGUCUUAGCGAACAAACUCAAUGUCCUUCUUUCAUAGUAUCAAGAAGAUGAGUUCGUCAUUUCUGCUUACUAGUGCCCUAUUUUUGAAAACAAUGUAAAUUUACUGAAUUUGAAGUUGAGAAGACUCUUGUAAUUCUAAAAGAUUUUGACUAACAAAUGCAACCUUAGAAAUACUCUAGUAAUGAGUUGUUUUUCUGAUUAUUAAUCAUACAUUUAAAGCUAAUUAGAGGUAUUAUUGACAAAAAAUAGAUAAAAAUUUAUGUUGAACUAUUUCUUUAAUACUAAAGUUUGUUCUAUUUUCUUUAAAGUAAGAGAACGGAUGUAGUAUUAUAUUAAAAAAAAUGUAGGUAGUCAAUUCCACGGAGAUAUCGAUUUGCUUUUUGUUUAAAAAUAAUUAGUAGUUAAAAAAAAAAAGAAAAGAAAAGAGAAGGCCACUUUUUGAACAAAGUUUCAGGUUUACACUAUAAUAGUCAAUAAGUGAAUUUGCUUUCACAUGUUACAAUAUCAACAAUGAAUAGAGGUCUGCCGAAGUCUACUUUUGAACUUAAAUUGGUUUUGCGAUCACACUAAUUGGAAAUUGACUGGAAUGCCUGGGUAUGGGGCCAAUCUACUAGCUUUUAAUAGAUACCUUUGCAGUUUGAAGAUGAUGAAUUGAACAAUAUUAUUAUCAGUAGUUCAAAUUCACGAGUUCAUCAAUCUAAUCCAAUCUUCAGGACUAGCUAUUUGCUGUUAGAUUGUUCGCGCAUGUCCAUGGAUAUCCAUUCAUUUCCCAAACCUAUCUCCUCCUUUCUCUUCAUUCUUUUACUGCAACACAUCAAAAUCGCCAUUUCUAAACCUCCUUACGUUCCAACUGACAUAAUCCUUUCCAAUUGUGGCUCUUCAGGCCAAACAACCACAGGUGAUGGCCGCAAAUGGACUGGUGAUUUAAACUCCAAAUUUGGCCCUGUAGACCAUUCCAAUUCCACCAAAUCAGUAUCCGCCAUCGCUCUUAGGCAAGGCAGCUCUGUCGCGUCUGUUCCUUACAUGACAGCUCGCAUCUCUCAAACCCAAUUCACUUAUACAUUCCCUGUUACUGCUGGUCAAAAAUUUAUCCGCCUCUUCUUCUACCCAUCUAAUUAUCAAGGCGGAUUUAACAAGUCUAAGGACUUCUUUGACGUCAAAACAGGACCUUUCACUUUACUCAAGAACUUCAGUGCCUCUCUUUAUUCUUCUAACGGGCAAGAGACUUUCUUUAAAGAAUUCUGCUUACACGUCGGAGAGAAUCAACAACUGAAUUUAACUUUUUCUCCAUCUUUCAAUUCCUAUGCUUUUAUUAAUGGAAUUGAGAUUUUAUCCAUGCCUGCUAAUCUUUACCAUACGCCACCAGAGAUUAAAGGUCUUCAAUUCAUCGGCGAAAGAGAAAAGUUUUAUGUGGGUAAUGACACUGCAUUAGAAAAUAUUUAUAGAUUAAAUGUUGGAGCAAGCACCGUUCCGUCUACGAGUGAUACUGGCAUGUAUAGAUUAUGGGAUGUUGAUACCAUUUUCUCAAAUGACAGAGGCCUUGUCGAUGAUGGUUUGGGUCUUUCUCUUAAUUAUUCAAGAAUUCCAGCUUAUAUAGCACCCGUUGAUGUUUACUUGACAGAUCGGGGAAUGAGAAUCGGUGAUACUAAUUUGACUUGGAUUUUACCAGUUGAUCGAGGAUUCAAGUACCUUGUAAGGCUUCAUUUUUGUGAAUUUAAUGAAGAUGUUGAAAUUAACAUGAGACGAUUCAAUGUCUAUGUCGACAAUCAGACGGCGAAUCUGGGUUUUGAUGUUAUUGAAUCAAGCGGUGGUGUGUUGACUCCUAUAUAUAAUGACUAUAUAUUCGCAACUGGGAAGGAGAAAGGAGAGGUUGCAGAUGAUUAUAUCCUUUUAAUAACUUUAAGGCCGAAUUCUUCUAGUAUGUCCGCUGAUUCUUUCUUGAAUGGGCUUGAAGUUUUCAAGUCGAAUGAUUCUAACGGUAAUCUUGCCUGACCUAAUCCUGUUGUGUCUGUCUCUCCAACAACUAACAUAGCGCCGGCCAGCCAGCCACCAUCAACAACAACCAGCAAGUCCAAUACUAAAAAGGUACUGUUCCUUGCAUUUGGUGGUGGUUUGAUAAUAAUUUCUUUGUUGGGUUGUUUAGUUGCUUGGCAACUGAGGAAGAGAAAGCAUCAUCAUGGAGCUUAUUAUAAAUCAUUAAGCUAUUGUUUGCGGUUGAAAUCUUACAAAGGUAAAUCAUCAAGGACAACAGCUUCUUCCUCACUACCGCAAGAACUAUGCCGCCAUUUUUCACUAGAAGAGAUUAAAGAAGCAACAAAUGAUUUUGAUGGGAGUUUGAUAAUUGGUUCAGGUGGAUUUGGAAAUGUUUAUAGAGCUAAUUUUGAUAAUGGAGCUACGACCCUUGCAAUCAAGCGCUUGAAUCGAGAGUCUCGACAGGGUGCUCGCGAAUUCAAGACAGAGAUAGAAAUGCUCUCCCAACUCCGCCAUGUCAAUCUUGUAUCUUUAAUAGGAUAUUGUAUCGAUGGAGGUGAAAUGAUACUAGUUUAUGAUUAUAUGAUCAAUGGUACUCUUCGAGACCAUCUCUAUGAAAAUAACAAGAAACCACUUGAAUGGAAGCAAAGGCUUGAGAUAUGCAUUGGAGCUGCGCGGGGUUUUCAUUACCUUCAUGCUGGUGCUUCACACACUAUAAUUCAUCGAGAUAUAAAGACUACUAACAUUUUGUUAGAUGAAAAUUGGGUUGCUAAAGUCUCAGAUUUUGGAUUGUCAAAAAUUGGUGUAAACAAUUCUGCAAUUAGUACUGUAGUAAAGGGUACAUGGGGAUAUUUUGAUCCUGAAUAUGCUCGACGCCAUCCAUUAACAGAAAAAUCUGAUGUGUACUCAUUUGGUGUUGUAUUAUUUGAAGUACUAUGUGCUCGGAAAGUAGUCAACCGCAAUUUGGAUGAAGAUGAGGUGAAUUUAGUCAAUUGGGCGCGAAAAUGCAUCCAAAAUGGGAAUAUUCAUCAAAUAAUUGAUCCUGAAUUAGUAGGAAAAAUAUAUCCAGAGUGUUUUAAUAAAUUUGUAGAAAUUGCAGAGAGCUGUGUGCGUGAUCAGAGUAUUGAUAGACCUUCUAUGCAUGAUGUAAUGGAGAGGCUUCAGUUCGCAAUGGAGUUGCAGCAAGCUGCAGAUUCUGAGAAAGAAAAAGUGAAUCCUGGAGGUGAAUGUUUAUAUCCUAAAGUAUCAUUUCAUCCUUCUCGAUAUGCAAAUAUAUUUGGUGGGUCUGAGUUGGAUUCAAGUAAUGCAAGUGGGUUAAUGGAUCUUGAUACUGAUACAGAUACUACUACUGGACAGACUUUUCCCAGUAUGUUGUCUGCUAGCUUAACGUCUAGCCAUGGCUUCUCCGAUACCAUCAACUCUUCAAGGAACUAGAAAUAUUGGUUUCCUGUCUUGUGAUUUUUGUAAUUGGAAAGUGUGUCUGUGUUGUUUGCUUAAUGGUUCUGUCUUAAUUUGUCUAGAAUGAUUAAUGCGUAUUUGAAAUAGUAGGAAUUGUUAAGAAAAUAAUCAUAAUGCCAAAGUCGGGUAGUAUAGGCUUCUUACCGAGCGUCGCGUUCCUUAUUGUAAAGUAGCAAUCAUUACUCAUAUGAAUCUAAAAAAAAAAAUAUCGCGCUUUUACGAAGAGUGGAGGAGAUCAUUGGAUAUUUUUUCUAAGAAAAAAACAGAAGGAGAUAAUUGGUGUAGCAAUGCAAAUAAAGCAGCCUCAUGUGGAUCAUGCAUAAGAUAAAAGAAAAGAAAAGGCAUAUUAAGCACAGAAAACACUUAAAUUAUAAAUCAAAGUUGUAAUGCUAUGUGUGGACACCUGAAAAUGAUGGUGCUGGUCUCUUUCUGAAACUGUAAAGAAUGACUUGGAAUAAUUAUUUAAGGUCAAGCUUAUUAAUUGUUUAAAUAAAUGAAUUAGAUGGUUGUAAUCAGGAAAGUAAAUUAAAUCUUACAAAAAAAAAAAAAAAAGGUAAAUUAAGGGUGAUAUGAUGGGCCAGGCUUUGCAGCCCAAAGGCAUGAGCCUGGGCUCCACCUUGAACAAAAACAUAAGGGUUAAGUAAGGAUUGCUCAACCUUGAAAAAUUAUAUAUUUUCAUUUAGAAAAAAAAAAAAAAGAAAGAUAAUUUAGUAUUUUUUUUCAGUUGUUAAAAUUAAUUAUUCUCUAAUUCAUAUUUAAUUUGGUGAGAAUUUCCAUCAAACAAGGACUCCAACGCCCUGACGUCUUAUUAGUUUCUCCAUUUUCCAAUUCCACCACUCACUUAACCAUUCUUAUUAAAUUUAAAUUUUCUGCUCUUAACCAGACAAGCAAGCCAAGAAAUUCCAUGAAAAUGAAUGCAGAGAUACUUACCCUUACUGGAGCUGCACUAGGUACAAUCGUUUUAUUAUUUCUUAUCUGCUUCACAGUUUUCUUUUAUUGCAAAAGGAAAAGAAGCAGUGAAGAGCACAUGAAUCCCAUGCCGGAAGCCAUUUGCCGCCGUUUUACAGCUAAAGAGAUAAGAAAUGCCACCAACAACUUCGACAGAGAUCUCCUAAUCGGAGAGGGAGGAUUUGGUAGAAUAUUCAAAGGUUACUUGGACAGUGAAAAAACCACACCAGUAGCUAUUAAAGCUCUUAAACCAUACUCAAGCCUAGUAUCUGAACAGUUCUGGGCAGAGAUUGAGAUGCUUUCGAAGCUCUGUCAUCCUCAUCUCGUAUCUCUGAUAGGUUACUGCAAUGAUCAACGGCUCAUGGUCCUCGUUUACGAGUACAAGGCCCACGGAACUCUCCGUGAUCAUCUUUAUCAUAGUCAUAAUCCGCCACUCCCAUGGAAACAAAGGCUAGAGAUUUGCAUUGCAGUAGCAGGCGUACUUCAUUAUCUUCAUGCUGGCGAUUCACAUACCAUAAUACAUCGAGAUAUAAAGACUUCUAACAUUUUGUUAGAUGAAAAUUGUGUUGCCAAAGUUUCAGAUUUUGGAUUGUCAAAAUCCGUGGUAAAUAUUUAUGCAGUUAGCACUGAUGCAGCAGGUACAUUUGGGUAUUUGGAUCCAGAAUAUUAUUUUAGCCGCCAAUUAACAGAAAAAUCUGAUGUUUACUCAUUUGGUGUUGUGUUGUUUGAAGUAUUAUGUGCUCGACCAGUAACCAACAUGCAGUUGAAUAAAGAAGAGGUAAGUUUAAUCGAUUGGGCGCGAAACUGCAUCCAAAAUGGAACCAUUCAUCAAAUAAUUGAUCCUAAAUUAAGAGGAAAAAUAUUUCCAGAGUGUCUUAAUAAAUAUGUGGAGAUUGCAGCGAAUUGUGUGCGUCGUACAGGUAUUCAAAGACUUUGUAUGGAUGAUGUAAUAGAAAAUCUUGAGUUUGCAUUGGAGUUGCAACAAACUGCAGAUUCUGAGAAGGAAAAAAUGAAUCCUGGAGGUGAACAUUCAUAUCCCCAAGUACUAAUUCAUCCUUCUCUACGUGCAAAUAUAUAUGGUUGGUCUGAGUUUGAAACUGAUAAUUUUCCCAGUAUUUCGUCUGAUAGCUUCUCUGAUACCAUCAGCUCUUAAUGCAUUUCCGUUUUAGUUUCUGUAGAAUGGUUAAUGAGUAUUUGAAAUUGUUAAGAAAAUAAUCAGAAUCAUAAAUAAUGUGUGAUUUUGUGCUGUAAAAUGCCAGAUUUUUUUAAGUAAUUUUGCUGAACAUACCCUUAUUAGUUUGUCCUAUGCAUGGAUCAUUCUAUUGAUUUUAAUAUCAAAUGGCAGUGAAAUAUUGAAGGAAAAUAUUAUUCCGUCAAUAUAUUUUCUCCUGUUUCUAAAUAAGGGGAAACUUCCAUCCGGUUUUUGAAACUGAGUUUAAAAUUUUAAUAUUUCACAUGUAUAAUUAAAAACCACUUUGGGAUAUUGUAAUCUUAACACCUACAUUUUGAAUUUGGCCUCCACAAGAAAAAAAAAUGAAAAUUCUCAUGCAUGGAAGUCACCAUUGUGGUUACAAUGCCAUAACACUGGAGUUUUUUUUUUUAUUUUGUAAAAACAUAUUAAUGAAUAUAACUGCAGAGAUUGUCUAUACAAUUAAUGUGGCAAGAUUUAAAUGAAUACAUUUUAUUAACGUUAUGCAAUAAUAAUUAAUUAUAAGGGCAGGAGAAUAUUAGUAGAGACAUAAAAAAAUAAGACAAAAGAGUCGUAUUUUUUCUCUUUUUUAAUAUUGGAAGGGGAUUCGAACAUGAAUCUAUUAUAUCCACUUUCCACUAAGUUAAGUUAUAAAAGUUUUUUAAACAAUUAUUUAUUGUAUUGGUAUAUAGAUGAGUCAAUAUAUAGAUAUAAACGAAUAAUAUCUCCUAUAUAUAACUUGAAUUUAUUUAUCGCAAUAUCUUUGCUUGAAUUUAUAUAUAUAAAUAUAUAUUAUUUAUAUGUAAAAGAACAGAAAGCAUGUAGAGCAAUGUUAAAUGAAAAGCAAAACACUUUCUUUGUCGGCAAUAAAUGUCAAUAAAAUUGAGUUUAAUUAAAUGAAUAAAAAGAUCGAACGACAGCCACAUAAGAGAUAAAAGCUAAGGGAAAAAAAAAGAAGUUCCAGGCUUAUUUAUCUGUGGAAAUAUGAACGAUUCUGGUUUCUUUAUCAAGUGAUAAUAUAGAGAACAACAUGACUAAUAAUUGUCGUGCUUGUACCAAAAGCGAAGGAGAUAAUUUGGAGUGGCAAUGCAAAUAAAGCUGCCUCGUGUCGACCAUUCAUAAGAUAAAAGAAAGGAGAAGACUUUAAUUAUAAAACACAAUUUUUCCUAAAGAUGAUGCUGCUGGUCUCUUCUAAAACUAUAAAGAAUGACUUGGAAUAAUUGUUAAAGUGAGCUUAAUUGUUUGAUUAAAUAAAUUAGAUAGAAGUAAUAGUACAUACGUAUUUUAAGAUUUUGUUUUCUAAAUUAUUUUCUUUCCCUUCAAUAAUUGAAAUUAUAAAUUUAUUUAUUAAAUGAAUAAUCUCAUUUACAUUAAUUUCUUACUAAACCAUUCAGUUCAAGGGUGUGCGCCAUAGUUCUCACACUAGUUCUUAUUUCUUAGUGAGAGUCAAAAGCAACUUUUCCAGGAAUCAAAGUCCCCUUUUUUCUUUUAAUUUUAUGUAAGAAGUAUAUCUUUAGCCCUGUCUUGUCCAAUAAUUUCCAAGCAAUGUUGCUCUGUUACAGAACCAAAUCAAACCAACCAUGAACGCGUCUAGCUGCCAUAGAAGACUUAGAAAAAAAGUGAAACAAGGAUUCCUUUGCUCUCCAAUGCCCUAAUGUCUCAUUAGUUUCCAAUUCCACCACCACUCACUUAACUACCCUUACUAGAUUUACAGUUUCUGCUCUUAACCAGACAAGCAAGCCCAGAAAUUCCAUGAAAAUGAGUGCAGAGAUACUUGCCCUUACUGGAGGUGCACUAGGUACAAUUGUUUUAUUAUUUCUUAUCUGCUUCACAGUUUUCUUUUAUUGUAAAAGGAAAAGACACAGUGAAGAGAACAUGAAUCCCGUGCCGGAAGGAAUUUGCCGCCGUUUUACAGCUGAAGAGAUAAGAAACGCCACCAACAACUUCGACAGAGAUCUUCUAAUCGGAGAUGGAGGAUUUGGUAGAGUAUUCAAAGGUUACUUGGACAGUGAAAAAACCACACCAGUAGCUAUUAAAGCUCUUAAACCUAACUCAAGCCAAGGAUCUAAAGAGUUCUGGACAGAGAUUGAGAUGCUUUCGAAGCUCCGUCAUCCUCAUCUUGUGUCUCUGAUCGGUUACUGCAAUGAUCAACGGCUCAUGGUCCUCGUUUACGAGUACAUGGCCCACGGAACCCUCCGUGCUCAUCUUUAUCAUACUCAUAAUCCUCCGCUCCCAUGGAAACAAAGGCUAGAGAUUUGCAUUGCAGCUGCUCGUGGAAUAAAAUAUCUUCAUGCAGGUGCGGAGCAUAGUGUCAUAAUCCAUCGUGAUAUCAAAAGCACUAACAUUUUACUUGAUGAAAAUUGGGUCCCAAAAGUUUCUGAUUUUGGACUGUCGAGAUUGGGCCCUACAAGCUUAUCUAUGAGCCACGUAACCACCGAUGUAAAGGGUACAUUUGGGUAUUUAGAUCCUUCUUACUAUUUCACUAACCACUUGAGUGUAAAAUCUGAUGUGUUUAGCUUUGGAGUAUUACUAUUUGAAGUACUAUGUGCUAGACCAGCAGUAGACAUAAGGCUGGAAGAAGAGCAGCAUAGUUUGGUUCUGUGGGCCAGACAACAUGUUAAAGAUGGAACGCUUGAUCAAAUUAUUGACCCUAAUCUAACGGGUGAAAUAGCGCCAGCAUGUUUGAAGGUCUAUCAGACGAUUGCAGUCAAGUGUUUGCGCGAGAAUAGAAAUGAAAGACCUACAAUGGCCAAAGUGUUGCAAAAGCUUGAGUUGGCAUUGAAGCUGCAGGAAAAUGCCGAUGCUGCUGCGGAGGAGGGAAUCAUGUUUGAUGGGUGUGAAAGAGAGGAAAUUUCGCUACGUGGAAGCGGUAAUAACAGUGGUUAUUCAGUAAAGUCAUGCCCAGCAUUUUGGCAUAAAAAACCAUUAUCAGAAACGGAAGGUUUGAAGUUUCUAAGUGAUAGGCCAAGAGGUUUUAUUAAGAGACCACCUUCUUUACGUAGGCUUAAAGGUUUAUUUUAUGCAGUAUUUGCAUACAAGUCAUUGCCACGUGAGAAAGAGCAGUCGUUGGAUUCAUCAAGCACGUGUGAGCAUGAUUUGGCUUCAGAGAGUACAUGGAUAGAGAUCAUGGCUCAUCAUCAAGAUCAAUCAUGAGAUAUAUAUAUAUUAAAUUUCUUUUUGUUAGUGGGAACUAAAGAGUAAUGUGUUGAACUAAUUAAAGAUGUUUCGUGUUUCACGCAAAUUAAAGAAGUUUAAAGUUUACAAGGUAAAGCAAAAAAGUUAUUGCUUUUCCUUUUGAUUUUUGGCCUGUCUGCUAGCUUUAUUUAAAACAAAUUAUUAUCAACUUUUCAUGGGAAAAGACUUGGACUUGUCAUUACGAGUAUUCAUCAAUUUCAGUAAAUUAUUUAAAAAGAUUAAAUAUCAUAAUUUUGAAAAUUUAGUUGUUUGAUUUAAUUUGAAAAUAUAAAAAAUAAAAAGUAAAUUUUUUUCUAAUUUUGUAUUCAAAACCGUUCAAAUAGAAUAUAUAAAAAUCAAAUUCAGAUGACCAAUUACUUCUUUUCAAUAAUUUAUAUCUUACAUAUGUUAAAUAAUAUAAUUUCUCAUACUCAAAAUUUUAUUUACGUCUCACACAUAGUAAAUCAGCAAGUGGUUUUUCAUUCAUAAAUAUAAAUGAUUUGUUAAUGUAAUUUUUGUUUAUUUUCUUUUAUAAUAAUAAUUGAUUUGGUUUGAAUAACUUCCAUAAAUUAGAUCGAUUUAAAUUUCUUAAAAACUGUCAUAAUUAAUUGGAUUUUGUACAAAUAUUCCUAAACCAUGAAUAACCCUACAUGCUACAUUACCUUUACAUACUCUGGUCUAGGUGAAAGGCCAAAAUGAUGGGCUGGGCUUUUCGACUUUUGGGCAGGGGGACUUGCCUUCUUAAGAAAAAACGAACGUGUCUAAAGUUAAGGAUUGCUAGACUUUGAUGAGAUGGUGUUAGCUUCAAAUUGUUAACUUUUAGAUGGAAGCUCUGAUGUUUGUUAAAAAUAGAUCGCUUAGGCAAAUUUCUUAAAUUAAGUAUAAAAUAUAUAAAUAUAACCAAAUGGUGUAGUUUCAAACUUAUUCACCAAAAGACUGUGAUAUGAAUUUUCAAAGCAAAAUGUUAUAUAUUGUGAAAAUUUAACAAAUUGGUAAAUACUAUUUGCUACACUAAAAAAAUAGCAAACAAAUUUGAUUUUAUAUUAUUUUUGGAAAAAUUGUUACUAAAAAAUAAUAUAGGAGAAUUAUCCAUUAGUUUUGAUCAAAUAUACAAAUUAGUUAUCGUUUUUUCCAUCCAAUAAUUUAAUUAUUUCGUCUGUUUUAAGAGCUUUUACCAAAGUAUAUGCAGCUUGUUAAAAAUUUAGGCCCUAUGAGCAAAUUAAUCAAAUUCAAGUACGAGUUUAGCUUAUCUUUAAUACAAAAUGACCUAAGCCAUUUUAAUUGAUUCACCUUCUCAUUAUAUGUCAUUUACUUAGUUUGUAUUUAUCCAAUGUAGGAUUAUCCACAUACUUCAACACAGUUAAUGAAAACAAGAUCUAAAACAAUUUCAACCAAGAGAUCGAAUACCUCAAUUUAAAAAAAAAAAAUUACAUUCCAAACAUUAAAUGCAUAUAUGACAAUCAUACCCAAAUGCUAAGAAAAAAAAAAUUUACAGUUGGGUAUAUAUGACUAGCAAUAAAAAUGGAUAUGCAAACUUAAUUUCAUUAAUAUUCAUAUUGUGCGCUUCAAUCUUAAUUUCUACCCAAUUUGAAUAACAAAUUCAUCGACAUUCAUAUUGUGUUUAGGUGGACAAAGGGGUUUGCAACGAAGAUGCAGCUAAAACCAUCGUCGAGAGCUAAAAAAAAUAUUAUGGACGAAGGAAAGGAAGGUGGUAGAGAAGGUGCAGUGGUGGAAAAAGCCGAUGGAGGUAGUAGAGUAGAGGAUCAUCAUCGACAUAAAGGAUAUGAGAAGAAGAUGGAGUUAGGGCGAGAGAUGAGAGAGAGAUUUUUUUUUCUCACUCUACACGAAUUCCCAAAGGUCAAUCUUGUCAUUUUAAAUAUUCUCUCAGAUAUGAUUGCCUUUUUUGACCGACUCACGUCUAAAUACUAAAAAAAUUGUUGAAAGAAUUGCAACGUUUUUUAAGAAAAUAUUAAAUAUUGUAACUUCUGGUUUUAUUCGGAUUCAAUUGCUACUGCCUAAUUUUUGAAGGAUACAUACUUAUUUAUUCCCGCGUAUGAGAUUAAAAAAUAUUUUUAAAAAUGUUACUAUUUUUAUCUUUUUUAAAAUUGAUAAUCUAAUUGCCAAACAUAUCAGUAGCAGUUUUAAUUCAUAUUUAUAUAUAUAUAUAUAUAUAUAUAUAUAAUUUUAAUUUAUUUUUUUAUUCUUAUAUCUUUACUCAUUAAAAAUUUUUAGAAUUUAUAAAUUUAUUUUGUUCAAAUACUUAUAUUAAAUGUACACUAAGUCAUAAUCUAAUGGUAAGUGUAUGUACGACUUGUCAAUAAAAAUUUCGAUUCGAAUCCCUCCUCAAUAUUAAAAAAAAAAAAAGCGUUGGAUAUUAAUUAUUUAGAUCACUCAUUAAAAUUAUAAAUCUCUAUACAUAAAUAUCAAAUAGGCUAUCAUUCUAUGGGAAAAAUAUCAUUUUGUAAUACUAAUUUUAAUUGGGAGGAGGAUUAUUAUUAGAGGAUUUUUUUUGGAAGGUAAGAAUUAGAGGGUGGAGAAUGGAGGAGUGAGACAAUGGUUAAAUUGACUCAAAAUAUUAAAUAUGAUUUUUAAAUUAUUUUAAAUAAAUUUAGGGAUUAAAUUGACCUAAAAAAUAAAAUCAUAUUUUUUUAAUCAUUUUAUACAAAUUUAAAAAUUAAAUUAGCCUAAAAGGUGGGUCAAAUAUGAUUCUUUUAAUCACGCUAAACAAAUUUAAAGAUUAAAUUAGACUUUAUUCCUAAUUUUAAAAUACAUCAAUAAGGAAUAAUUAAUUAUGAAUUACAUUACUAUCCCUUUGCAACACAAUGUGGCACGAGUCAAUCACUUGUCUGUUCGAACAGUGACUUUGUAAUUAUUGUAUAACCAGUGGUGACCCCACGUGUUGUACUGAUUUUAAAAUUUUUUAUUGAUUUUAAUUGAAAAUUUUAGAAAAUAAAUUGUAUUUUUACUUAUGAUAGUUUUGUUUUUUAUUUAAAUAUUUAUAUUGAGAAGUAUUUAAAAAUAAAUAUGUUUUAUCAUUUACACACAAAAAAUAAUAUUUAAUCAAAACCUAUAUGGUAUUAUGUACUAUAAAAUAUAUAUAUUAUUUUAAUUCUAAAACUUUAUUUUAUUACAAUAAAAAUAUUUGUAGAAUAACAUUUCUAGAGUUAGAUUCAAAAAUUAUAGGAUCGUUCUUGAAAUUUGAAAGAUAAAAUACCUCAACAACUUCGAUAAUGGUUAGAAACUCUGCCUCGUUCGAUUCAAGGAUGCCCGUAUUUCCAACCAACAAACAUAAAACAAAUCCUUCAUUUUUUCCAAGUACUCGUGCAUUAUUUAGUGGUCAACAUUUGGUAGAUAAUUAACUUAAUAAUAACAAAUACUCCGAUCAAGUUAUUUGGUAAUAAUAUUAAUUAUUUUAAUAACUGUUAGUUAUUUUAUUAUCUUUUAGCUAUUAAAUUUUAAUUGAUAGCUAUUUUUAAAGUGAUUUAAAUUAUUAUUGUUCUAUAAAAAUAGUCGUUUAAUUAGUUAUUUAACCUUAAAUGAUAAAAAAUGCUAUUAACUGUUUAAAUAGUUGAAUUCGAGAGAAAAAAAACGAAUAUAAUUAUAUGAAAAAUUUAAUUAAUUAAUGUAAAAUGCUAAACAUAACCGUAUUUAACGUUUUAUAAAAAAUUCUCUUAAAAUCCAAAAGCUACGAUUAAUACAUAGAGUUUUGACUUUGUCAAAACGCUAAAAAAUAGUCAAGGUGAACAAUAUGUCGCGUAGGUUAAUUUAUUCAUGUAAAAAACAUGUCUAGAGAUGAAACGAAUUUUAAAAUAAAUUUAAUCUUAGACAUAUGUGGAAUGCUUAAACAAAUUUUUUUUAAAAAGAAUCUAUUUUCAGAUAGGACGGAUAUUUAUCAGAUAGAGAGCCAAUGCAAUGAACCAAAAGCACUACUCAUACAUAUAUGGACAGCAAAGAUAGGGAAGCGGAAUUUUUUUUUUUUUUUUUUUUUUUUUUUUUGUAACGUCAAUUAUGCAAACAUGGGAAAUAGAAUGUCAGCCACACAAAUUGCAACAGAAGAGAGAUAAUCAUAAUACUGUUACUUAGUAUACACAUUAAUUAAUCAAACCACUCCGUACACAUAAAACAGAUUAAAGUAGAUGAAAUAUAAUACACUCAAUAAGUUUGGCUCAGUAUUAAUUUAAAUUAUUUAUAAAUUUAAUUUUUGAACAUUAAUCUGAGCCUAAUUUAAAUUAUUAUAAUAACAGUAACAAGAUAUAGAAAUUGACAGCAUACCCUUUGGUGUGAUCCCGAGUUCAUCUUAAAAUCCGACCGUUGCAUUCUAUGGUUUCCGGCGGAGGUAUGGACUCGAUCCUGGAGGCUUUUUCGAAUUUGGAGGAGGAAGGCAGUAGGAUUUGCCUUGACCGCAACCAAAAAGUGCAGGAGGCUUUAAUGUAUCGUAAGUUCCCGGUUUCAGUUUGGUGCUACCAACUGCAAGCAUUCUGUUGAUCUCCGAGUCCAUCAUGAACCCUAAUUCCAUGUUGGUGUCUGCUAUGGAAAAGGAGAUGUUGCUGAUCAUUUCCUGCGGAGUACUUAUAACUCCGAAACAACUGCUUCCGCUCGUCAGAACCAAAAUCACCACCAUCGCUAGAGAGAGACUCCUCAUUCCUUUUUUUUUUUUUUUCUUUUUUUUAACUACUAUUUUCUUUUAUGCCAAAUGGAAAUACAUUUGCGAGAGAGCUUGGUAUAACAAACUAUUAGUUGUAUGACAUUGACUUGUUGUCUGAAUUUCAAUUGAUCCCUUUAAUAAAUGGCCGUGAUGAUAGCUGCGGUAGCAACCGCAAGAUUGUAAUCCCUCUUUAUAUAAAAAAAAAAAAAAAAAUCAAAAUUCUAUCUUUUUAUUACUUGUACCGUUGGCUAAUAUAAAUUUUAUAAUAGUUCUAAAGGCCGCUGCAAACUUUUUUUUAUGAAAUAUUAAACGAUCUAACUUUUAAUAUUUCACAAUAUUGAUUAAGUUUCUUUGACAAUUGUACUCAUUGUUUUAUUUUUUGAAUUAAACUAAUAAAACAAUUAAUGAUAACAUUCGGUAACAUAAUGUUUGAAUUAAUUUUUAGAUGUCAAUAUAGCGUUUUAUGAAAAGUUAAACCAUGUAACAUUGAGCCUUUAGCAUUUUAUGAAACGCUAUUUAAAAUAGUUAACAGUUAAACACUGCUAAAAUAACUAAUAACUAUUAAGAUAGCUAAUUUAGCAUGCCUAAACUUUUUAUUUUUUUCUAUUUUAGUGUCUGAAUAAAAAACGCUGUUAAUUGAGUGCACAAACUUUUAAAAAUUUAUUAUUAAGUGUCUCUAACAGUGCUGGCCGAAGGGAAUAUGAUUAUACAAACCCAUUUUUUUUAAUAAGUGGCAGCUGAAGUAGACAAAAAAAAAAAAAAGCUACAAAUUAGCUAAAUCAUACUUCGACUUUGUGGGAAUUGACCUUUUUAACCCUCAUUUAAUGUUGCCCGAUUAUCAAAUCUACAAAUAAUUUCAAUUAGCCUUCUUAACCUUCAUUUAGUUGGUAUAAAAUUAUUUAGUUGGUAUAAUUUUAUAUUAUAAUUUGAAUGAUCAAUAUUUGUGAGUAAACGUAAAACAAACACUCCUUAACAUUACAAAACGACAACACUACCUUCUCUAAGCAGCAGGGCGGCCAUCGUUCUGCAAUUCACGAUUCCGAUUCAAAAAAAUUUAAAGUUGAAAUUAAAUCGAAAAUUGAUGGUUCUAGUUUCGGUUUGAAACCGAACUGUUAUGGUUCUGGUUUCGUAACAAUUUCAGCCAAUUUUUUGACUGAUUUUUUAACGAAUCGCAUAAUUAUGAAAUUAAAAAUUUAGAAAAUUUAAAAUUCAAAUAUAUAUGAAAUAAUUUUAGAAAAACUUUAAGAAAAAUUUUUAAAAAAAGAUUGUACUUAUUUUUUUUAAAAAAAAUGGCUUGAACUUAAUUUAGUUUUUUUAAAUGAAAAGUGAUAUUUAUUGUAAAUCCAAAAAAUCAACUUUCUACGAAUACUCUUAAAACUAGCUGUAGUUAUUAGGAGGGUUAAUUUGAGGAUUUCAUAAAAAUAUUUUCAAAAAAAAUUUGCUGGAACCGAGUGGAACCACUAGUCCGAACCGCCAAAUCUAACCGGUUGGAAAAAAAAGCCAAUUAUAACAUAUUCUAACUGAUUCACAGUUCCUCAAAAAUUGAAAUCAAAAUCGGAUCGUAGCCCCUUAAUUCUGGUUCCAUUUUCACAGGUUUCAAACCCGCAGUUUCGAUUUCGAAAGCUGUGAAAUGGCUACCCCUCCUAAGCAGUCCUACUAUCGUUCAUUUUACAAUUCAAACAAAAACAACCACCUCCAAUCAAUCAACAAGCAGCACACCACCACCACCACUAAUCUCCUCCCUCUCUUGCAUCAGAUUUGCUAAAAACAGUACUUGCAGUAGUCCUCUUUCCUUCCUUUGGCCAAAAGUCCAUGAAUAAUACUUUAAUAAUUGUUAAUGAAUCUCUUCGUUGUUCGUCAAAUUCGCAACUGUAAGAAAUGAAGGUUAAAAAGGCCAGUUGAAAUUAUUGGUAGAUUUGAUUAUCGGACAACAUUAAAUAAGGUUAAAAAGGUCAAUUUCCACAAAUUCUAUGUCUGAUUUGGCUAAUUUGUAGCUCUUUUUGUCCGCUUCAGCUGCCACUUGUUGAAAACAGUGGAUUCCAUAAUUGCACAAUAAAAAUAUAAUAUCCCUUAAUAAUAUAUUCGACAAAAUUAAUUAUUUUGAUAAUUAUUAAUUGGGUUUAUUUGUUAGUUGUUUUAGCAGCAUUUUAUAAAAUGCUAAAAUCUAAAUGUCACAGGAAUUAACUCUCUGUAAAAUGCUACCUUAACUUCUAAAAACUAAGCUAGUUUAAACACUAUGUUAUCGAAUCAAUUAAAAAUAGCUUUUAGUAUUUUGACAUAUUAAAACGCUAACAGCAAAUUAAAAAACUGUUGUCGAGCACAACGAAAAGCUAAUGGAUAACAGCUAACCGCUAAUAAAACAACUAACAGUUGCUGAAAUUAACAUUGCCGAAAAAACCUUUAAAUUGUUGUAUAAACAGCUAACAAUAGCUAAUAGAAAAAUUAAUAAUUACUAUAACAACAAAUAAUUAGUAAAAUAAUUAAUAUUAUUGAACAAACUUUUAAAAGGGGAAAGGGAUUAAUUCCUUAAAACGCCAAAGGGAUUUAUUCUGUCACUGAUCCAUGAACUAUUUCAAUACGCAGUUCAUCAAUCCUAACAUUUAAUUCAUCACUGACUAACAUUUUUAUGACAAUAAAAUCCCUUGACCUGUUAAAUUGAAUUUUCGGCCAUCGCAUUGCCACGUGGCUGACACUUGCCAUUAGUUAUUCAUAAAAUUUUUACAUAUCGAGUCUAUGAAUUUGAUCUAAAUAAAUAUAAUUACAAUAAAAAAAUGGAAAUGAUUAAAGUAUUAUCAUUUUCUUUCCGGGUUAGAAAAACUUUCCUUUCAUGGCGACUUUAAGGAAGUCAAUCCCUUGCAUUUUUACGGUUUUUUUUUUUAUAUUUUAUACAGCUAAAAACGAAAAGCUUCUAUGCAUGCUCCACCACCUGUUUCCUCCCCGCGCUUCUCUUCUUUCUCUCACAAGAUGAGAAAAACCAAUAACAAAUAUCUCCCCCUGCAAAUCCCAUCGAUCUCUGCCGUUCUCUACUUUUUUCUCUUGCUCCACCACCUUACUAUCCUCACCGCCGGAGAUUCACCAUCUCCUCUUAUCGGCAACAUAACUAUUGACUGUGGCUCUACUAGUGCUACAACUGCAGAAGGUGAUCGAAUCUGGACUGUAGACACCGAUUCAAAAUUCUCCCUCCUGGAUCCAACCAACGCAUCAAUAACAUCCCCAGCUUCUAAACAUCCCACCUCCGGCGAUCAAGUUCCUUAUAUAACUGCACGCCUCUCACAGUCCGAUUUCACCUACACGUUACCGGUUACUCCAGGGCCAAAAUUUAUUCUCCUCUAUUUUUACCCAGCGUCCUAUGUCAGUUUCAGCAGCCCCACUGCAUUCUUUUCUGUCAACGCCGGUGGCUUCACUCUUCUUAGCAACUUCAGUGCCGCGCUUUAUGCACAGGCUCAUAACUUUGACUCUUUUGUUAAGGAAUUCAGCUUAAAUGUAGAAGAUGGUCAGAUGUUGAACGUAACGUUCAGUCCAGCUCCUAGUAUGACUGGCGCAUAUGCUUUCAUUAACGGACUUGAAAUCGUAUCUAUACCUACAAAUCUUCUGUACAAUGCAACCGGUGAUCCAGGAAUUAAAUUUCUUGACAGGAGCGAUCUAGGCAGCCUUGGAAGCAACACUGCUCUAGAAGUAACCUACCGGAUAAAUGUUGGAGGCGGUGACGUCUCACCUCUAAAGGAUAAUGGAAUGUUUCGAAGCUGGACAGCUGAUGAUGAAUAUUUAACUAGUGCAGAACAAGGUGCAAUUCUUUCUAAUUUCGCCAUUCAUCUUAAAUAUGGCGAUCUCAAUAAUAUCUCUCGUUAUGGUGCACCGGACGUGGUGUAUGAAACUGCAAGGUCAAUGGGUAUGAACAAGAGCAUUAACGAGAAAUAUAAUCUCACUUGGACGUUUCAGCUUGAUUCUAAUUUUACUUAUCUUUUUAGACUUCAUUUUUGUGAGUUUCAACCGCCAAUAACUGAAAUAGAGGACAGGGUUUUUUGGAUUUACAUAAACAAUCAAACGGCAGAUAGUGCCGAUGUAAUUAAAUGGAGUGGGGGGAAUGGAUUUCCUAUAUUCAAAGAUUAUGGAGUAGCGAUUGAACCCCAAGGAAACAAAAAGGUUCAAAAUGUGUCUGUCGCAUUGCAUCCCAGGGUUGCUCUGACUUUAUAUUCUGAUGCAAUUUUGAAUGGGAUUGAAAUCUUCAAAAUGAGUAAUAUAGACAAUAGCCUCGCCGGACCAAAUCCUGACGUGAACUUAACAAGUGCACACACUACUCCAACUAAUCGCCCCACGUCUUCAAAUUCUAGCAGUAACGGGACAAAAAUUGGUGCCGUUAUUGGUGGUACUGUAUCAGGCCUUGCUAUACUCUCUCUCGUACUUUUCUUGAUUGGCCGGCGAAGAAGACUUGGAGUCAAGGACAGGGGUAAUGGAGCUGCUUCGUGGUUGGGCCCAUUUUCUAUUUCUUCUACCAAGACUCAGAGCUCAUCAACUCUACCGGCUGAUGUUUGUCGCCGGUUUUCACUCUCCGAGAUUAUAGAUGCUACCAAUAACUUUGACAAUUUAUUCAUUAUAGGCGUUGGAGGUUUUGGUAAUGUCUACAAAGGCUUAAUCAACAAUGGGGCCAGUACUGUUGCAAUCAAACGGCUGAAUCCAGGGUCUGAACAGGGGGCACAUGAGUUCAAGACAGAGAUUGAGAUGCUCUCUCAGCUUCGUCAUCUUCAUUUAGUCUCUUUAAUUGGCUAUUGCUAUGAAGAUAAUGAAAUGAUACUUGUAUAUGAUUACAUGGCUCGAGGAACUCUUCGCGAUCAUCUCUACAAGACCGGCAAUCCUCCACUUCCAUGGACUCAACGACUAGAGAUAUGCAUUGGGGCAGCGCGGGGGUUAAAUUACCUUCAUUCUGGGGCCAGCAACACAAUCAUUCAUCGAGACGUCAAAACAACAAAUAUUUUGCUAGAUGAGAAAUGGGUAGCAAAGGUUUCAGACUUCGGAUUAUCCAAAAUAGGUCCCAAUAGCAUGUCAAAGCCGCAUAUUAGUACUGUAGUGAAAGGAAGUUUUGGAUAUUUAGAUCCUGAAUAUUUCCGGCUUCAGAGAUUAACAGAAAAAUCUGAUGUAUAUUCAUUUGGUGUUGUUUUAUGUGAAGUGAUAUCUGCUAGACCGCCAGUGAAUCGAUCAACGGUCGAUAAUCCUGCAAGCUUAGCAGAAUGGGCAAGGCGAAGCUAUAGAAAGGGAAACUUUGAUGAAAUAGUGGAUCCAUAUUUGCAUGGAAAGAUUUUACCGGAUUGUUUGAGAAAAUUUGCUGAAGUAGCAGUAAGUUGCUUGCAUGAAAAUGGAAUGGACAGGCCAUCAAUGGGCGACGUGGUCUGGGGUCUUGAAUUUGCACUACAGUUGCAGGAAACUGCUACCAAGCAAGGCGAGCUUCAAACUGGAAGUUACAUUGACAUGGAGAGUCCACUAAAAGGGUCCUCAGUUGCUGAUAGCAGUGACGAUUUGUUUAGUAGCGGCAGUGAACUUGUGAUUGGUUCUCGGCUUAGUGGAAUGACAUUAAUAAGCAGCAGUGAUGAACAAAGUUUUAUUAGUAACAAUUCCGAGCAAGUAAUGUCUGGUGCUGUAUUUUCUGAGAUCAUCAACCCAAGAGCCCGAUAAGAAAUAUUGUGUAAUAUUAAUUAGCUUAGUUUAAUAUGGUGUAAUAUUAGAGGAAUUAGCUCAUCAGGGUUUUCCAAUUAUAUCGUAGUUUAUAUUUAUCAAUGCAAACGGUUUACUCUAUUUCAUUUUAGUAAUUUUUCUUCUGUAUAUUCUUUAAUAAUUUUACUAUAGUUUUUCAAAGAAUUAUCUUUCUGGAUUGAUUUGAUUGAUUCUGUUAUUAGAAAGGAAGCACUGAAGAUUUGAUAAUAAUUUGUGUGGAAGGUUUAAAUUAUUGGUUCCUCUAUGGUUGAUCAGAGAAUAGCUGUGAGCCAUUAGCAAUCCGGAAAAUAACUGUGAAGUUGUCAAUACAAAGUAUUUUAUAAAUUUUGAUCAAUUUAAUAUUAUAAGAACCAUUUGCCAUUUUCUCAAGGUCUGGGAAUCUUUCUGAAUAGCAAAAGUUGAAUGCUUUUGAUUGGAUUUUAACUUUUGAGAAAACAAUUAAGAGAGAUUGCCUAAUUCUUGAUUAAAAAUUCUUCUUUAGAGUCGAAAAAUCUAAAAUUAAAUGAACAAAAAAAAUUUUUCACUACUAAUUGGACUGUCUUGAGAACACAAAAAGUAUUUUUUCUUUAAAAAAAAAAAAUUAAAAUUGAUGUGGUGUGAAUGUCGUUUUGUAUAGAUAUUUCUUUUUUUUCCUUUUUAUAAGGGUAGAUUAUUCCACCUUCAAAGAUUCCUCAAGAUAUUUUUUCUUACUUGUCAAUUUAUUGGAACUCAACCAUAAAUUAAUAUACUAUCAAUAUUUUUUUUUAUCCAAUGGAAAUGCUUUAAAUAUCUAAAUUGAUGAAGCAAUUAUAUUUUGGCGGUAACAUCUGUUGGACAACAGAGGAAGUGAAAUCAGCGUCAAUUUUUAUUUUUGUGCAAGUUGCAUUGACCCGGAGACCUUUACAAGUCUUCGUCUGCCGUAGGAAAUUGGGUCCAGACUUUUCCAAUCAGCUUGAUGGAAUGGGUUGGGUGGGUGGAUGCUAUAGCCUACAUGUAAAAAGGAGAUACGACAACAAGUAAGGACAAUUGACGCGUUAAUUUCCAGUCGUUUCGGAAAAGAUGAAGUAUGCGUACGAUAUUAAUUCGUUGGUUGGAAUGUCUAUUUUUCCACUAAAAUGACAACCGAACUAAGGGGUCAUAUGAAUGUGUUUUAGGAAUACCAAUUCAUUUUAAUAGUUUUAUUGAAUUAGAAAAAUGGAUUCAGAAUAUGUCCAAGGAGGCAAGGACUUUUCCAAGUCUUGCAUGCCCAUACCACUUACGGGCUAAGAUUUUCCGAUGUUUGAUUGGAACUAAUGGAAAAAAAGUAGGUAGGCAAAGUACUGUCCCUUGUCUUCAGGCCAACGAUAAAAUUUAUGAACCAAGUUGCUGGGUAGGUCUACUUUCCCUUCAUUAAAAGACAAUCAACAAGUGAAUGAUUAGAUCCUUGGAACGACUUGAUCAAAAGGUUGCGCCAAAACUGUCACUGCUUAAGCUUUGUGCAAGUCUCUGUUUGCCCCAAAUUCUUUUUCAAGUUAGAAAAAAUGAUUCUGCCUAAACAAAAGAACUCUGUUGAGUCCUGCCAACGACUUUCUACAAGUCUUCCUGCCCGGCCCACUUUGUUGAUGGCUCAUAUUUCCUCCAACCAUUAUUCUUGACGAAUAUGGCCGCCAUGAUAUUUACUUCUUCUGCUCAUGUAGUUACACGUUACAGCGGGUCCAACAGAGAUAUGUUCAGUCAUGCAAAUUUUACACUCCCUCCAAAAUAAGUUAAAACUGUUGGAUUUAAUAGCUUCCAAGUACUUAAAUCUAGCUAUCAUAUUUGUGUCUUUGCUAUUGCUCUGAAUCUGAUCUUGUAACGCUUUAAUGUAUUUUCGCUGCAUAACAUAGCCAUCACAAAAGCAAUUAGUUGAAACUUGGAUUUCUUUUUAUAUUGCAUUAAUGUAACAGGCUAAAUGAAGGAGAAAGUUUUCCUCCUGCCCACAAUGUAGCAACUUGUAAUGUUACAUAAACAAUAAAAAAUGUUCUGAAAUGGUAUCACUUAAGGGAUGUAGCUGUGAUUUCCAUCAAAAAAAAAAAAAAAAAAAAGAUACAUAUAACAAUUUUUUAGAUAAUAGUUGGAUUUUCAAUUCCAUCCAUCCUUGCAUUCUCGUGCAAAUUUUAUGGUACUUUACUCUGAUGCAAUUCUUAAUGAAAUUGAAAUUCUCAAUAUCAUAAAGAAUGAUCCAAUGCAAGAAACAUCCACAUUUAUAGCUCUAGAAAGGGUUAAUAUACUUAGUCUUCCCCUGUUUUUCUAGAGAUAUUGUUGUCAUAUCUCUAACCUAUAACUCCACCCUCAAAUUCUCAAAAAGAUGGAUUAAGAAAAUAUUGCCUGUUUUUUGUUGAGCAAACAUGGUGUUCACAGAAAUUAAAAUGCUUUCUCAGCUUCAACACCUUCACUUGUUAACUUCUUUGAUGAGAUGGUGUUAGCUUCAAAUUGUUAACUUUUAGAUGGAAGCUCUGAUGCUUGUUAAAAAUAGAUCGCUUAGGCAAAUUUCUUAAAUUAAGUAUAAAAUAUAUAAAUGUAACCAAAUGGUGUAGUUUCAAACUCAUUCACCAAAAGAGUGUGAUAUGAAUUUUCAAAGCAAAAUGUUAUAUAUUGUGAAAAUUUAACAAAUUGGUAAAUACUAUUUCCUACACUAAAAAAAUAACAAACAAAUUUGAUUUUAUAUUAUUUUUGGAAAAAUUGUUACUAAAAAAUAAUAUAGGAGAAUUACUAUUUAUUCCAUUAGUUUUGAUCAAAUAUAUAAAUUAGUCAUCGUUUCUUCCAUCCAAUAAUUUAGUUAUUUCGUCUGUUUUAAGAGUUUUUACCAAAGUGUAUGUAGCUUGUUAAAAAUUUAGGCUCUAUGAACAAAUUAAUCAAAUUCAAGUAUGAGUUUGGCUUAUUUUUAGCUUGUUAAAAAUUUAGGCUCUAAGCCAUUUUGAUUGAUUCACCUUCUCAUUAUAUGUCAUUUACUUAAUUUGUGUUUAUCUAAUGUAAGAUUAUCCACGUACUUUAAUGCAACCAAUGAAAAUAAGAACUAAAAUAAUUUCAACUAAGAGAUCGAAUACCUCAAUUUAAAAAAAAAAAGAAAAAGAAAAUUACAUUCCCAAACAUUAAAUGCAUAUAUGACAAUCAUACCCAAAUGCUAAGAAAAAAAAGAAAAACUUACAGUUGGGUAUAUAUGACUAGCGACAAAACAUAAGAACAUAAGAAUGUAAAAAUAUAUUUUGAAAAAGUAAAGAUGGUUAGUGUAUUUGAUCAAAACUCAUGAACUAAAUAGUAAUUUUGUUUAAUUAUAUUUGUUCCAUUAACAGUGUAACCAUUCUAUCUUCUCAUAAUGUUUUCUUAUCAUUAUUAUUACUGCCUCAUGUGAUUGAAAUAGUAAAAUUUUUUAAGAAAUUAUUACAUAUUGUAACUUUUGGUUUCAUUUGGAUUCAAUUGCUACUGCCUAAUUUUUGAAGGAUAAUACUUGUGUAUUCCUGCGUUUGAGAUCAAAAAAAAUUUUUAAAAAUGUUACUAUUUUUAUCUUUUUUUUUUUAAAUUGAUAAUCUAAUUGGCAAACAUAUUACCAACAGUUUAAAUUCAUAUUUAUUUAUUUAUUUAUAUUUUUAAUUUAUCUAUUUUUAAUUUACUUUAUUUAUUCUCACAUCUUUACUCAUAAAAAAUUUAUAGAAUUUAUAAAUUUAUUUUUUUAAAUACAUAUAUUAAAUAAAUAUCAAAAUAUAAUCUAAUGAUAAAUGUACCCCUUCAAUAAAAAUUUCUAUUCAAAUCAAGUGACCCAGACCAUUGAGUACCCCUUCUAUUAAAGGACCAAUUGGAAGUAUAAUCGGAGAAAAUAUCACUGUAAAUGAAGGUUAAAAAGGCUACUUGAAAUUAUUGGUAGAUUUGAUCAUCGGACGACAUUAAAUGAAGGUUAAAAAGGUAAAUUUUCACAAAGUCUAACUCUGAUUUGGCUAACUUGUAGGCUUUUUUGUCCGCUUCAGCUGCCACUUGUUAAAAAAGUGGAUUCUAUAGUAGCGCGAUCACGAUUUUGAUCUGCCAGCUCAAUUGGAGACAUCCAGUUAUAAAUUUUUAGAAGUUCAUGAACUUGAUCGCUCCUGAGAGUCAGAAGGUUUGUCAGCAACAUUCGCGAGCGCGACAUCCAUUUGCGCGGGUACAAAAAGUAUUCCUGAGAGGCAGAGACAUUUAAAGCAGAAGUCGCAUUCUGAAGUCACAAGUAGAUGCAAACUCAGAAUAAUGUCCAAAAGGCUUCAUGUUGUCACUGAUCUUUUGCUGUUUUAGCAUUUUUCCUUCAAACGUCAAAAUAAAAAAAAAUAAAAAAUUUAAACGCUAAAAAUAUAAUUAUUUUAAAUGAUAUAUUCAAUAAAAUUAGUUAUUUUGAUAAUUGUGAACUGUUUUAGUAGCGUUUAACUGAUAGCUGUUUUAGCAGCAUUUACAAAAUGCUAAAAUCUAAAUAUUAUAUAAAUUAACUUUUUAUAAAAUGUUACCUUAACUUCUAAAAAUUAAUUUAAACACUAUAUUACUGAACACUAUAAAAAAUAGCUUUUAAUAUUUUGAUAAAUUAAAACACUAAUAACUAAUAAAAUAAUUAAUAAUUACUGCAAUAACUAACGACUAAUAAAACAAUUAAUAUUACUAAACGAUCCCUUAAAAGGCGAAAGGGGUUAAUUCCUUAAAAGGGCAAAGGGAUUAAUUAUGUCGCUGAUCCAUGAACUAUUUCAAUACGCACUUCAUCAAUCCUAACAUUUAACUCAUCACUGAACUAAUAUUUUUAUAACACUAAAUCCCUCGACACGUUAAAUUGAAUUUUAGGCCAUCGCAGUGCCACGUGGCUGACACUUGCCAUUAGUUAUUGAUAAAAUUUUUACAUGUCCUUACUCCAUCUCUCGUAUCUAUCAUCCCUUUUCUUUUCUGUAUCCAAUCGAGUAUUUCUUCAAAAUUUCACACUCUUUAACUACUAAACAAUAAAAGGGAUUGUCUUUUUCAGAUCUGUCCAUGCAUUUAUCUAUAAAUCAAAUAAAUAAAAAUAAAAAUUUUUUAUUAAAAUAUGUAAAAAAAUUUCUAAUUAUAUAUUAAAAAAAAUAAAAUAAAAAUAAUUUUAAAAAAUAUUUAUUUUCUCGAUUUGAUCUAUGAAUUUGAUCUAAAUAAAUAUAAUUACAAUAAAAAAAUGGAAAUGAUUAAAGUAUUAUCAUUUUCUUUCCGGUUAGAAAAAAUUUCCUUUCAUCGCGACUGUAAGGAAGUCAAUCCCUUGCAUUUUUACUUUUUUUUUUUAUAUAUAUUUUAUAUAGCUAAAAACGAAAAGCUUCUAUGCAUGCUCCACCACCUGUUUCCUCUCCGCACUUCUCUUCUUUCUCUCACAAGAUGAGAAAAACCAAUAACAAAUAUCUUCCCCUGCAAAUCCCAUCGAUCUCUGCCGUUCUCUACUUUUUUCUCUUGCUCCACCAACUUACUAUCCUCACCGCCGGAGAUUCACCAUCUCCUCUUAUCGGCAACAUAACUAUUGAUUGUGGCUCUACUAGUGCUCCAACUGCCGAAGGUGGUCGAAUCUGGACUGCAGACACCGAUUCGAAAUUCUCCCUCCUGGAUCCAACCAACGCAUCAAUAACAUCCCCAGCUCCUAAAAAUCCUACCUCUGGCGAUCAAGUUCCUUAUAUAACUGCACGCCUCUCACGGUCCGAUUUCACCUACACGUUACCGGUUACUCCAGGGCCAAAAUUUAUUCGCCUCUAUUUUUACCCAGCUUCCUAUGUCAGUUUCAGCAGCUCCACUGCAUUCUUUUCUGUCAAAGCCGGUGGCUUCACUCUGCUUAGCAACUUCAGUGCCGCGCUUUAUGCACAGGCUCAUAACUUUGACACUUUUGUUAAGGAAUUCAGCUUAAAUGUAGAAGAUGGUCAGAUGUUGAACGUAACGUUCAGUCCAACUCCUAGUAUGACUGGCGCAUAUGCUUUCAUUAACGGACUUGAAAUCGUAUCUAUACCUUCAAAUCUUCUGUACAAUGCAACCGGCGAUCCAGAAAUUAAAUUUCUUGACAGGAGCGAUCUAGGCAGCCUUGGAAGCAACACUGCUCUAGAAGUAACCUACCGGAUAAAUGUUGGAGGCGGUGACGUCUCACCUCUAAAGGAUAAUGGAAUGUUUCGAAGCUGGACAGCUGAUGAUGAAUAUUUAACUAUUGCAAAACCAAGUGCAAUUCUUUAUAAUCUCACCCUUCAUCUUAAAUAUGGCGAUCUCAAUAAUAUCGCUCGUUAUGGUGCACCGGCCGAGGUGUAUAAAACUGCAAGGUCAAUGGGUGACAACAAGAGCACUAACGAGAAAUAUAAUCUCACUUGGACGUUUCAGCUUGAUUCUAAUUUUACUUAUCUUUUUAGACUUCAUUUUUGUGAGUUUCAAUCGCCAAUAACUGAAAUAGAGGACAGGGUUUUUUGGAUUUACAUAAACAAUCAAACGGCAGAUAGUGCCGAUGUAAUUAAAUGGAGUGGGGGGAAUGGAUUUCCUAUAUUCAAAGAUUAUGGAGUAGCGAUUGAACCCCAAGGAAACAAAAAGGUUCAAAAUGUGUCUGUCGCAUUGCAUCCCAGGGUUGCUCUGACUUUAUAUUCUGAUGCAAUUUUGAAUGGGAUUGAAAUCUUCAAAAUGAGUAAUAUAGACAAUAGCCUCGCCGGACCAAAUCCUGACGUGAACUUAACAAGUGCACACACUACUGAAACUAAUGGCCCCACGUCUUCAAAUUCUAGCAAUAACGGGACAAAAAUUGGUGCCGUUAUUGGUGGUACUGUAUCAGGCCUUGCUAUACUCUCUCUCCUACUUUUCUUGAUUGGCCGGCGAAGAAGACUUGGAGUCAAGGACAGGGGUAAUGGAGCAGCUUCAUGGUUGGGCCCAUUUUCUAUUUCUUCUACCAAGACUCAGAGCUCAUCAACUCUACCGGCUGAUGUUUGUCGCCGGUUUUCACUCUCCGAGAUUAUAGAUGCUACCAAUAACUUUGACAAUUUAUUCAUUAUAGGCGUUGGAGGUUUUGGUAAUGUCUACAAAGGCUUAAUCAACAAUGGGGCCAGUACUGUUGCAAUCAAACGGCUGAAUCCAGGGUCUGAACAGGGGGCACAUGAGUUCAAGACAGAGAUUGAGAUGCUCUCUCAGCUUCGUCAUCUUCAUUUAGUCUCUUUAAUUGGCUAUUGCUAUGAAGAUAAUGAAAUGAUACUUGUAUAUGAUUACAUGGCUCGAGGAACUCUUCGCGAUCAUCUCUACAAGACCGACAAUCCUCCACUUCCAUGGACUCAACGACUAGAGAUAUGCAUUGGGGCAGCGCGGGGGUUAUAUUACCUUCAUUCUGGGGCCAGCAACACAAUUAUUCAUCGAGACGUCAAAACAACAAAUAUUUUGCUAGAUGAGAAAUGGGUUGCAAAGGUUUCAGAUUUCGGAUUAUCCAAAAUAGGUCCCAAUAGCAUGUCAAAGCCGCAUAUUAGUACUGUAGUGAAAGGAAGUUUUGGAUAUUUAGAUCCUGAAUAUUUCCGGCUUCAGAGAUUAACAGAAAAAUCUGAUGUAUAUUCAUUUGGUGUUGUUUUAUGUGAAGUGAUAUCUGCUAGACCGCCAGUGAAUCGAUCAACGGUCGAUAAUCCUGCAAGCUUAGCAGAAUGGGCAAGGCGAAGCUAUAGAAAGGGAAACUUUGAUGAAAUAGUGGAUCCAUAUUUGCAUGGAAAGAUUUUACCGGAUUGUUUGAGAAAAUUUGCUGAAGUAGCAGUAAGUUGCUUGCAUGAAAAUGGAAUGGACAGGCCAUCAAUGGGCGACGUGGUCUGGGGUCUUGAAUUUGCACUACAGUUGCAGGAAACUGCUACCAAGCAAGGCGAGCUUCAAACUGGAAGUUACAUUGACAUGGAGAGUCCACUAAAAGGGUCCUCAGUUGCUGAUAGCAGUGACGAUUUGUUUAGUAGCGGCAGUGAACUUGUGAUUGGUUCUCGGCUUAGUGGAAUGACAUUAAUAAGCAGCAGUGAUGAACAAAGUUUUAUUAGUAACAAUUCCGAGCAAGUAAUGUCUGGUGCUGUAUUUUCUGAGAUCAUCAACCCAAGAGCCCGAUAAGAAAUAUUGUGUAAUAUUAAUUAGCUUAGUUUAAUAUGGUGUAAUGUUUGAGGAAUUAGCUCAUUAGGGUUUUCCAACUAUAUAGUAGUUUAUAUUUAUCAAUGCAAACGGUUUACUCUAUUUCAUUUUAGUAAUUUUUCUUCUGUAUAUUCUUUAAUAAUUUUACUAUAGUUUUUCAAAGAAUUAUCUUUCUGGAUUGAUUUGAUUGAUUCUGUUAUUAGAAAGGAAGCACUGAAGAUUUGAUAAUAAUUUGUGUGGAAGGUUAAAUUAUUGGUUCCUCUAUGAUUGAUCAGAGAAUAGCUGUGAGCGAUUAGCAAUCCGGAAAAUAACUGUGAAGUUGUCAAUACAAAGUAUUUUAUAAAUUUGGAUCAAUUUAAUAUUGUAAGAACCAUUUGCCAUUUUCUCAAGGACAGGGAAUCUUUCUGAAUAGCAAAAGUUGAAUGCUUUUGAUUGGAUUUUAACUAUUGAGAAAACAAUUAAGAGGGAUUACCUAAUUCUUGAUUAAAAAUUCUUCUUUAGAGUCGAAAAAUCUAAAAUUAAAUGAACAAAAAAAAAUUUUUCACUGCUAAUUGGACUGUCUUAAGAACACAAAAGGUAUUUUUUCUUUAAAAAAAAAAAUUUUAAAAUUGAUGUGGUGUGAAUGUCGUUUUGUGUAGAUAUAUCUUUUUUUUCCUUUUUAUAAGGGUAGAUUAUUCUACCUUCAAAGAUUCCUCAAGAUAUUUUUUCUUACUUGUCAAUUUAUUGAAACUCAACCAGAAAUUAAUGUACUAUCAAUAUUUUUUUUAUCCAAUGGAAAUGCUUCAAAUAUCUGAAUUGAUGAAGCAAUUAUAUUCUGGCGGUAACAUCUAUUGGACAACAGAGGAAGUGUAAUCAGCGUCAAUUUUUAUUUUUGUGCAAGUUGCAUUGACCCGGAGAGCUUUACAAGUCUUCGUCUGCCGUAGGAAAUUGGGUCCAGACUUUUCCAAUCAGCUUGAUGGAAUGGGUUGGGUGGGUGGAAGCUAUAGCCUACAUAUAAAAAGGAGAUACGAGAAGAAGUAAGGACAAUUGACGCGUUAAUUUCCAGUCGUUUCAGAUAAGAUGAAGCAUGCGUACGAUAUUAAUUCGUUGGUUGGAAUGUCUAUUUUUCCACUAAAAUGACAACUGAACUAAGGGGUCAUAUGAAUGUGUUUUAGGAAUACAAAUUCACUUUUUUAGUUUUAUUGAAUUAGAAAAAUGGAUUCAGAAUAUGUCCAAGGAGGCAAGGACUUUUCCAAGUCUUGCAUGCAUGCUCCUACCACUUCCGGGCUAAGAUUUUCCGAUCUUUGAUUGGAACUAAUGGAAAAAAAGUAGGUAGGCACAGGACUGUCCCUUGUCUUCAGGCCAACGAUAAAAUUUAUGAACCAAGUUGCUAGGUAGGUCUACUGUCCCUCCAUUAAAAGACAAUCAACAAGUGAAUGAUUAGAUCCUUAGAACGACUUCAUCAAAAGGUUGCGCCAAAACUGUCACUGCUUAAGCUUUGUGCAAGUCUCUGUUUGCCCCAAAUUCCUUUUCAAGUUAGAAAAAAUGAUUCUGCCUAAACAAAAGAACUCUGUUGAGUCCUGCCAACGACUUUCUACGAGUCUUCCUCCAACCAUUAUUAUUGACGAAUAUGGCCGCCAUGAUAUUUACUUCUUCUGCUCAUGUAGUUACACGUUACAGCGGGUCCAGCAGAGAUAUGUUCAGCUAUGCAAAUUUUACACUCCCCCCAAAAUAAGUUAAAACUGUUGGAUUUAAUAGCUUCCAAGUACUUAUAUCUAGCUAUCAUAUUUGUGUCUUUGCUAUUACUCUGAAUCUGAUCUUGUGGCUCUUUAAUCAUUGCAUUUUUCGCUGAAUAACAUAGCAUCACAAAAGCAAUUAGUUGAAACUUGGAUUUCUUUUUAUAUUGCAUUAAUGUAACAGGCUAAAUGAAGGAGAAAGUUUUCCUCCUGCCCACAAUGUAGCAGCUUGUAAUGUUACAUAAACAAUAAAAAUGUUCUGAAAUGGUAUCACUUAAGGGAUGUAGCUGUGAUUUAUAUCAAAAAAGAAAAUUUUUUAGAUACAUAUAAAAAUUUAAAACAGAGGGCUUUAAAAUGAUUUUUUUUCUUGUAAUAUAUAUAUAUUUGAUUCAUCAAAGGCAGAGGAUUGGCCAUUAAUAUUCUGUGAUUAUAGGGCAUAUAAUAAUAUAAAUGAUUGAAUAAAUUUAUAAAAUUAUGACCGAUAAUAUGUGGAUACUUAAUAAUAACAAGAGACACAUCUUAUCAGUAAAAAGAAAAGGUAUGUGCACAUUUCAAGAUUUUGGGCUAUUAGCCCAUUACAGAAAAAAGACAAUAAAUAAAGCGUGGUACCUCUAGACCACAUCAAGGUUUCGCAAGUGUAUUUUCAGCUUUGACAAAAAUUAAACAAAUGUUCGCUCAGGGUGUAACUCAAAACUUAUAUGUGCCUUUAUAUUUGUAACCAUCAACAGAUAUGGGAUAUUGUAAGAUGAUCAAAGGGAAAAAUCUUCAAUCCGAAUACAAUAAUCUCUCCCUUUCUUUAUAACAGAAUAAUGAGAACCAUAAUCAAAGUUCGUCUAGAUAACAGUUGGAUUUUCAAUUCCAUCCAUCCAUGCAUUCUUCUGCAAAUUUUAUGGUACUUUGUCUUCCCCUGUUUUUCUAGAGAUGUUGUUGUCAUAUCUCUAACCUAUAACUCCACCCUCAAAUUCUCAAAAAGAUGGAUUAAGAAAAUAUUGCCAUUUUUUGUUGAUCAAACUUGGUGUUCACAGAAGUUAAAAUGCUUUCUCAGCUUCAACACCUUCACUUGGUUCCUCUAAUAGCUUAUUACAAUCAACAACAUGAACUGAUACUGUUGACGGGUCUAAUUUGGGAAUCCACUUUAAUGUCUCUCCAGAAGUUGUGUCAUGUUUAAAAAUAAAAACACCACCAGUAAUUAUGAGAUUACAACAAGUUUUCAAUUGACAAUAGCUGUAACAGAUACUAUUGUGAUUACAAAAUUAAGAGCAGCAGAGAAGCAAGAAGAAGAUUGAUAUUCUCGCUAAAAAAUUAAGUGUUUUAAUUGAAUUGAAUUGAAUAAGACUUUUUUUUUUAAUUCUAAAUAUUACCAAUAAAAGUUGGAAAAUUCAAUUAAUAUAUUUAUAUUCAUUAUAUGGUAUUGUAUUGAUUUUAAUUAUUUAUUAAGCAGUACUUUUAAAAUUAAAAUAUAAUUUUUAAAUUUAUUUUAGUAUGAUUUCAUUAAUUAAUUUUAAAUUAUAAAAUAAUUAUUUUUUAAUUUUGGAUUUAUAAAAUUAAAAUAUAUUUUAUAAUAGUUUAGAUUAUUUAUUUAUAAUGUUUGGAUAUAUAAUUUUAUUUAUUAUGAAUUUUGCAAAAAUGUUACAAAAAUAAUUACAUUUAAGAAUACUAUCAAUCUAUAAUACAACUGAAUUCAACAAAUAUGUUGAAAAUAUAAUUAUUAAAUGUUAAUUUAAAAAUAUAAAAACUAAAUAUGCUAUAAAUAAAAAUCCAGAAUGCAGACAUUUACGCUCGAACUUUAGUUGUUAGGUUGUUUAUUUAAGGUUAUCCAAAUCUAGUGAAUUUAUAGAAUUUCUUUUUUUUUUUUCCUUAAAAAAUUUAGCUUCGUGUUAUUUGCUAUAUUCAGGUUAAAAUUAGAGACAAAAACAUAUAACUGAAUGAAUAGAAAAGAAGUCGUAAGUAAGACCUGACCUAUCCCUAACCUGAGGUUGGGCAACUGGAUGAGCUGGUAAAUAUUUUCUUGCUGGGUCGAGUAUAGAUUUUUUUAGAAUCUGACGCAUCAAGUUGAUUGAAAUGUUCAAUUGUUGGUUAUGAAAACUCAGUGCAGGGCCAAAAAACGCGUUACAGAGAAGGUUUGAUUGAGAAAUGACUAUAUAUCACUUUUAUAUGCAAGGUGACUUUCUUCGAACCUCGCUUGACCAAGUCUCUUUAAUUCGGUGUUUGUAAGUACUAAAUCUCAGAAACACAAGAACCACUUAUUAGUCUUACAGAAGUUGGAGUAGAAUUUACGCUCGUAGGCAAAAUUUCAGCACAAUCAUCGGCAUAAAACGCCAAAUUUGUCAUGAUAAUUGAAUGUCAAUUCUUGGUUACAUGGUCCCAAAUCCAGAGGGGACUAAUUUGUAUUUAUUUGCGCCUUCGUUUGAGGGAAACUUAGUGGAAUUGUGGAAAGCUCUUAACUUGUCAACGGAAGAUGCUAUUUGUUUCUAUUUUAUUUUAUUUUUGAACAGAACGAAAAUAAAUUUCAGAUAAUAAGAUGAUAGUGCCAGAGUAUAGGAUAUUGUUUAUUGCAAACUAUAUUAAAUAUUUUUCUUUUUUAAGGAAAGUAAUAUAUGUAUAUUAUCUGGAAAAGACUCGGUCAACCCAGUAAACAGAGUCCUUGUUUACAUAUCAUCCCAAGUUUCAGCUCUGGUUUCUGAUAAGCUGCUGUUGGUUUUAUAACAGUCUCCUUACACAGGUGCAAGGAAAAAACAAGAAAAUGAAGAUUGAAGAAUGGGUUUGGUUCCUUUCAAGUGUCUUGAUUGUUUUGAUCAUCACAGACGUUGCUGUAGCAGAGCCUCUAAAAGGGAACGCAAGCUAUGGAGAUUUAUCGAUGGAAUAUUCAGAUGAUGUCUGUCCAAGUCCUUUAAUUAAUCCUUCCACGUCUGUGGCAUAUAUAACUUAUGGAAGUUUACAAAAGCCACCAUUUUGCAGUCAAGCUAAAUAUGGCAAUUGCCUCGGACCUCCCACUAAGAAAAUUCGACCUUGUAGUACUUACGAUCGAUGCAGAAGAUUUGGCAGUGGGAAUUAACAAGAGGCUUAUGGCCUGCAGGUUUGAAUAAUUUCCCAUUGUAAUUACGAAUAUGGCAAUGAAAUUUCCGCAAAUUAUCGUGUUUGAUUAUUGUUAAGAAGAGAAGAACAUUUCCCGCUUAUGCUUGCUCAGUUUUUUUAUCCUAUUUCAUUUGAAUUCAUGACCUCACAGCGAUGGAGACACUUGAGAAUAAUUGAAGCUUAGUUUUUACUCGACUUUUUUAUUCUUCUGUGGCAUUUCCAUUAUUAUCUGUUUGGUUUUCUGGUUUCUAUUGAUAGCAAAUUCUUGAAGGUUUCAUAAAUUCUCCGGCUAUCGUGCAGAGCAGAUACUCGUAAAGAAACCAGUUCAUUCUCUAAUUAAAAUUUCUGAUUUUAUACACCUUAUUGAAAGGAUCUUUUUUUCCCCCGAAAUUCUUAACUUGUUGUCACAAAGGAAUUUCUUAAUCGGGCAAUUAAUUGCUAAUUGUAUUGUUAAAAGCAAACUGCGUCUCCUUAAAAAUUAUCAAUUCAUAGUUGAUAAGUA
rnacentral:lncRNA from 1 species